CAGUAGCCGCGGGAAUACGAAGGGUGCAAGCGUUACUCGGAAUUACUGGGCGUAAAGCGUGCGUAGGUGGUGGUUUAAGUCCGUUGUGAAAGCCCUGGGCUCAACCUGGGAAUUGCAGUGGAUACUGGGUCACUAGAGUGUGGUAGAGGAUAGUGGAAUUUCCGGUGUAGCAGUGAAAUGCGUAGAGAUCGGAAGGAACAUCUGUGGCGAAGGCGACUAUCUGGGCCAUUACUGACACUGAGGCACGAAAGCGUGGGGAGCAAACAGGAUUAGAUACCCCAGUAGUCCCUGUCUCUUAUAC
rnacentral:rRNA from 1 species